rnacentral:snoRNA from 1 species
UUGCCCGAUGAUUAUAAAAAGACGCGAAAGAGGACUUAAGCUGGAUUCUUUCUCUUUUUUCUCUUCUCUACUCUUUCUCUGACUCUUCUUUAUCUACAUAUUUCCCCUCUUUUCUCUACUGCUUUUUCUCUCUUUGGAUGUCCAGCGUCCUAUGAGCGAAGAUUAUGAGAUAUGAGGGCAA